AGUUUUUAAAGUGGGUUUGGAGAAAAAUGUUGUAUACGUGCGUCGCCGUGGCGGUCUUGUUUACUUUUGGGAAUUGAAGGACACAAAUUUUAUUAACAAUAGAUUUAAAACUUUACGAAUUUAUAAGCAGUCACGAAAUUCGUGACGGAAAUCAAUUAUAACGCAAGAUUUGCGUGCAAUUUUUUACCUCCAGAAAUCUCCUUAUAAAGAAGAAUCAAAUAAUUGGUAACAGCACUUCUUCUGCUCAACGGAAGAAAUCGUUUUUAAAAUGGUGUUGUCAAUGGAUCGAUGGGUCGGAAAAAUUGCAAUGGUAACUGGGGCUAGUUCGGGUAUCGGGGCAGCAAUUGCAGAACAAUUAGUUCGCAACGGAUUAAUCGUUGUAGGAUUAGCAAGGAGAAAAGAAAAAGUUGAAGAGCUGGUAAAUAAACUUAAGGACAACAAAGGAGUACUUUAUGCAUACAAAUGCGACAUGACCAAGGAAGCAGAAAUCUUGGCAGCGUUUAAGUGGAUAGCAGACAAUUUGGGACCGGUUAGCAUCUUGGUUAAUAACGCUGGUCUGAUUAAACCAACUGAUUUGAUCGGAGGAGAUACGGCUGCAUGGAAAACAGUACUUGACACUAACGUUCUUGGAUUAUGCAUCGCUACGAGGGAGGCCAUAAAUCAAAUGAAAGAUCGCCAAAGUGACGGUCAUAUCAUUCACAUCAACAGCGUUGCCGGCCACAGAGUAUAUGAUUUUCCCAAGUUUAACGUCUACUGUGCUACCAAGCAUGCAGUGUCUGCCUUGGCUGAAACGCUGAGAUUCGAAAUAAAUAGAGAACAUCUCAAAAUAAAAAUUACGAGCGUGAGUCCCGGAUAUGUCGACACCGAAAUACUGCAAAAUGGAAUCCACGGCGAUUUUUCUGUAGCUCUUCAAGCUGGCGACAUAGCUGAUGCAUGUAUUUACGCUUUGUCGACACCGCCCCAUGUGCAGAAACGAUAGAAACGGUAUCAAGACAUCGGAGAUGUAUUUCAACAUGCGUCCUGAAAGACGACAACCUUAUCGAACUUUGUUUAAAUUAUUGGAUGGAAAUAUCGAGUUUGAUUGAUUUGAAAAACUAAGACAAAAUUGGUACUUUGCAGAUAAAUGUGAACCCGGGAUAAUCCACAAGCCAAGUUUACUCUGAUGUAGGUGCUUCUUCUCAUACCAGUGCUUGGAGACAAAUACAAAAAGUCCAGAUGAUCCCUAAAAGCGAUGACAAUUUUGUAGUU